rnacentral:rRNA from 1 species
UACGUAGGGGGCUAGCGUUGUCCGGAAUCAUUGGGCGUAAAGCGCGCGUAGGCGGCCAGAUAAGUCCGGUGUGAAAGUCAAAGGCUCAACCUUUGAAUGCCGCUGGAAACUGUCUGGCUUGAGUCCGGGAGGGGCGAGUGGAAUUCCAGGUGUAGCGGUGAAAUGCGUAGAUAUCUGGAGGAACACCGGUGGCGAAGGCGGCAUCCUGGACCAAUAUUGACGCUGAGGAGCGAAAGCCAGGGGAGCAAACGGG